GGUUUGUCAAAUAUCAGCUGUGAUUAUCUGGCAGCAGCACUGAAGUCCAACCCCUCCCAUCUGAGACAGCUGGAGCUGAGUAAUGACUCCUCUUCUUCAACUAAGAACAACCUGCAGGAUCCAGGAGUGAAGCAUCUGUGUGGUUUCCUGGAGAGUCCAGGAUGUAAACUUGAAACUCUGAGAUUGGAGAGCUGUGACUUGUCAGAGAUCAGCUGUGAUUAUCUGGAAGCAGUGCUGAAGCUCAACCCUUCGUUUCCCACAGAGGUGGACCUGAGAGACCACAAGCUGCAGGAUUCAGGAGUGAAGCAGCUGUGUGUUCUUCUGGAGAAUCCACAACAUCAAAUUGAAACUCUGAGAUUGAGGGACUGUGGUUUGUCAGAGAUCAGCUGUGAUUAU